UACUGUUGGCUUCAGACACACCAAAAGGAUAGGCAAUGCAUCAGGUGUGGAUGUAAUGAUAAGGGAAAGUAAAUAUUUGAUUUGUCGAAAUCAUUCACAUAAGUUCAUUGGCCUGUUGAGUGGGCAUUGAUUUGACCUCAUAUACACUGAGCUCGUAUUCGGUAUCCCAGCAAUUUUAUCACACUUUGCUACCAAUCUUCCAGC
rnacentral:lncRNA from 1 species